CUCAAAUUUAAAAUCUGGCGGUUCUGCCGUCCGAGUUGUAAUCUGGAGAAGCGUUUUCCGCGUCGGACCGUGUACAAGUCUCUUGGAAUAGUGCGUCAUAGAGGGUGAGAAUCCCGUCCAUGACACGGACUACCGAUGCUCUGUGAUACGCUCUCAAAGAGUCGAGUUGUUUGGGAAUGCAGCUCAAAAUGGGUGGUAAAUUCCAUCUAAAGCUAAAUAUUGGCGAGAGACCGAUAGCGAACAAGUACCGUGAGGGAAAGAUGAAAAGCACUUUGGAAAGAGAGUUAAACAGUACGUGAAAUUGUUGAAAGGGAAACGCUUGAAGUCAGUCGCGUUGUGCGGAGCUCAGCCUUGCUUCUGCUUGGUGUAUUCUCCGUUUCGACGGGUCAACGUCAAUUUCAACCGGUGGAAAAGGGCCUGAGGAAUGUAGCGUCGUUUCGGCGACGUGUUAUAGCCUUGGGUCGUAUGCAUCGGUCGGGAUUGAGGACCGCAGCACGCCCUUGUGGCCGGGGGUUCGCCUCACGUUUGUGCUUAGGAUGUUGGCAAAAUGGCUUUAAGCGACCCGUCUUGAAACACGGACCAAGGAGUCUAACAUGCCUGCGAGUG
rnacentral:rRNA from 1 species